GACCACACCAGUGGCCUAAGUGUUUAGAGUGUCUGCCUUGGAUGCAGAAGGUCAUGUGUUCGAACCCCAUUUGAGUCA